AUUGAACGCUGGCGGCAGGCCUAACACAUGCAAGUCGAGCGAGCGGCGGACGGGUGAGUAAUGUCUGUGAAACUGCCUGAUGGAGGGGGAUAACUACUGGAAACGGUAGCUAAUACCGCAUACCAUCAGAUGUGCCCAGAUGGGAUUAGCUAGUAGGUGGGGUAACGGCUCACCUAGGCGACGAUCCCUAGCUGGUCUGCGAGGAUAACCAGCAAAACUGGAACUGGGACACGGUCCGGACUCCUACGGGAGGAAGAAGUGGGAAAUAUUGCACAAGGAGCGAAAGCCUGAUGCAGACAUGCCGCGUGUGUGAGAAGGGCCUUCGGGUUGUAAAGCACUUUCAGCGGGGAGGCGUUACCCGAAGAAGAAGCACCGGCUAACUCCGUGCCAGCAGCCGCGGUAAUAC
rnacentral:rRNA from 1 species